rnacentral:rRNA from 1 species
UACGUAGGUGGCAAGCGUUGUCCGGAUUUAUUGGGCGUAAAGAGCUCGUAGGUGGCUUAGUAAGUCGGGUGUGAAACCUCCAGGCUCAACCUGGAGACGCCACCCGAUACUGCUAUAGCUUGAGUCCGGUAGGGGAGCGUGGAAUUCCUGGUGUAGCGGUGAAAUGCGCAGAUAUCAGGAGGAACACCAAUGGCGAAGGCAGCUCGCUGGGACGGUACUGACGCUGAGACGCGAAAGCGUGGGGAGCAAACAGG